UACGAAGGGAGCUAGCGUUGUUCGGAAUCACUGGGCGUAAAGCGCACGUAGGCGGAUGUGUCAGUCAGGGGUGAAAUCCCGGGGCUCAACCUCGGAACUGCCUUUGAUACAGCACGUCUUGAGUCCGAUAGAGGUGGGUGGAAUUCCUAGUGUAGAGGUGAAAUUCGUAGAUAUUAGGAAGAACACCGGUGGCGAAGGCGGCCCACUGGAUCGGUACUGACGCUGAGGUGCGAAAGCGUGGGGAGCAAACAGG
rnacentral:rRNA from 1 species